ACCAGACUCCUACGGGAGGCAGCAGUGGGGAAUAUUGCACAAUGGGGGAAACCCUGAUGCAGCGACGCCGCGUGAGUGAAGAAGUAUUUCGGUAUGUAAAGCUCUAUCAGCAGGGAAGAAAAUGACGGUACCUGACUAAGAAGCCCCGGCUGACUACGUGCCAGCAGCCGCGGUAAUACGUAGGGGGCAAGCGUUAUCCGGAUUUACUGGGUGUAAAGGGAGCGUAGACGGCCAGACAAGUCAGAAGUGAAAGCCCGGGGCUCAACCCUGGGACUGCUUUUAAAACCGCCGGGCUGGAGUGCAGGAGAGGUAAGCGGAAUUCCUAGUGUAGCGGUGAAAUGCGUAGAUAUUAGGAGGAACACCAGUGGCGAAGGCGGCUUACUGGACUGUAACUGACGUUGAGGCUCGAAAGCGUGGGGAGCAAACAGGAUUAGAUACCCGAGUAUA
rnacentral:rRNA from 1 species